UACGUAGGGUGCAAGCGUUGUCCGGAAUUAUUGGGCGUAAAGAGCUCGUAGGCGGUCUGUUGCGUCGGCUGUGAAAACCCGGGGCUCAACCCCGGGCCUGCAGCCGAUACGGGCAGACUAGAGUUCGGCAGGGGAGACUGGAAUUCCUGGUGUAGCGGUGAAAUGCGCAGAUAUCAGGAGGAACACCGGUGGCGAAGGCGGGUCUCUGGGCCGAUACUGACGCUGAGGAGCGAAAGCGUGGGGAGCGAUCAGG
rnacentral:rRNA from 1 species